GGGUCAGUAGGUUGGUCGUGCCACCGGUACGUACUGGUCUCACUGAUUCCUCCUUCCUGAAGAACCGUAGUGCCAUUAAUUUGGUGUUGCGGGGAAACAGGACUGUUACUUUGAAAAAAUUAGAGUGUUUAAAGCAAGCUAACGCUUGAAUACAUUAGCAUGGAAUAAUGAAAUAGGACGAUCGAUCCUAUUUUGUUGGUUUCUAGGAUUGACGUA
rnacentral:rRNA from 1 species